CACGUAGGGCGCAAGCGUUGUCCGGAAUUAUUGGGCGUAAAGAGCUCGUAGGCGGUUUGUUGCGUCGGCUGUGAAAUCCCGAGGCUCAACCUCGGGUCUGCAGUCGAUACGAGCAAACUAGAGUGUUGCAGGGGAGACUGGAAUUCCUGGUGUAGCGGUGAAAUGCGCAGAUAUCAGGAAGAACACCCGUGGCGAAGGCGGCUCUCUGGGACGGUACUGACGCUGAGACGCGAAAGCGUGGGGAGCGAACAGG
rnacentral:rRNA from 1 species